UUGAUCCUGGCUCAGAAUCAACGCUGGCGGCGUGCCUAACACAUGCAAGUCGAACGAGAAAGCGGGGGCAACCCCGUGAGUAAAGUGGCGACCGGGUGAUUAACACGUGACUAACCUGCCCUUGAGUGGGGGAUAACCUCGGGAAACCGUGGCUAAUACCGCAUAACAUCCUGUGGGUGCAAUUCCCGUUGGAUCAAAGUAGCAAUUCGCUGAAGGAGGGGGUCGCGGCCGAUUAGCUAGUUGGUAGGGUAAUGGCCUACCAAGGCGACGAUCGGUAGCCGGCCUGAGAGGGCGCACGGUCACACUGGAACUGAAACACGGUCCAGACUCCUACGGGAGGCAGCAGUGGUGAAUUUUGCGCAAUGGGGGAAACCCUGACGCAGCAACGCCGCGUGGAGGUUGAAGUCCCUUGGGACGUAAACUCCUUUCGACCGGGAAGAUAAUGACGGUACCGGUGGAAGAAGCCCCGGCUAACUUCGUGCCAGCAGCCGCGGUAAUAUGGU
rnacentral:rRNA from 1 species